rnacentral:rRNA from 1 species
GACGAACGCUGGCGGCGUGCCUAAUACAUGCAAGUCGAGCGGAACUGGGGGAGCUUGCUCCUUCCAGUUUAGCGGCGGACGGGUGAGUAACACGUGGGCAACCUGCCCUGCAGAUCGGGAUAACUCCGGGAAACCGGUGCUAAUACCGAAUAGUUCGGCGCCUCUCCUGAGGCGCUACGGAAAGACGGUUUCGGCUGUCACUGCAGGAUGGGCCCGCGGCGCAUUAGCUAGUUGGUGGGGUAACGGCCCACCAAGGCGACGACGCGUAGCCGACCUGAGAGGGUGACCGGCCACACUGGGACUGAGACACGGCCCAGACUCCUAUGGGAGGCAGCAGUAGGGAAUCUUCCGCAAUGGACGCAAGUCUGACGGAGCAACGCCGCGUGAGUGACGAAGGUUUUCGGAUCGUAAAACUCUGUUGUGAGGGAAGAACACGUACCAACUAACUAUUGGUACCUUGACGGUACCUCACCAGAAAGCCACGGCUAACUACGUGCCAGCCGCCGCAGUAA